UGGUCUGCAUCGAUGAGACGCAGCGACUGCGAUAAGUAAUGUGAAUUGCAGAAUUCAGUGAAUCAUCGAAUCUUUGAACGCACAUUGCGCCCGCCGGUAUUCGGCGGCAUGCCUUCGUUCGAGCGUCAUUUCCACCCUCAAGCUCGGCUUGGUGUUGG
rnacentral:rRNA from 1 species